CUAGCCGUAAACGAUGGAUACUAGGCGUUGUGAGUAUCGACCCUCACAGUGUCGUAGCUAACGCGUUAAGUAUCCCGCCUGGGGAGUACGCGCGCAAGCGUGAAACUCAAAGGAAUUGACGGGGGCCCGCACAAGCGGUGGAGUAUGUGGUUUAAUUCGAUGUAACGCGAAGAACCUUACCAGGACUUGACAUGUCGCGAAUCUCAGGGAAACUUGAGAGUGCCUUCGGGAGCGCGAACACAGGUGGUGC
rnacentral:rRNA from 1 species